GAAAGGGGAGAGCAUUGAAUUUGAUACAAACACACAAGCUGUGAACAGUCUCAGAUUCACAAUUGCACUUACACUCCUUCAACAGACUGAUGACCUCACCGAUGUUUGCCAUCACUGUGGGGAAGAGGAACACGAGACAAAUGUGGACUGGAUACAGUGUGAUGAUUGUCUCCGAUGGUUCCA